AAGGACAAUUACUUAACAUAUAUGCUUAGACAUACUCUGGAACGAUAUUAAUCGCAGUAAAUCCAUACAAAUCCAUAAAUAUUUUUAAUAAGGAUUAUGUUGAGCAAUACCACAUGGCCAAAAUGGGGUCAUUAGAUCCCCAUGUUUUUGCAUUAGCUGAAGCUGCCUAUAGAAGCAUUGUUGAAGAAAAAAUUAAUCAGUCAUGCCUUAUUUCUGGAGAAUCUGGAGCUGGAAAGACAGAGUCAACCAAAUUUGUUUUGCAAUACUUGUGUGCCAUCACAUCUAAUAUUUCGUCUUGGAUUCAACAACAAAUAUUAGAAGCGAAUACCAUAUUGGAGGCAUUUGGUAAAUAACCCUAUUUUAGUUGUUUAAUUUA